rnacentral:rRNA from 1 species
GAAUUCNACCGAUCUCGCGUAAUGCAUCUAGCAUUGNUAGUUUGGAUCAUGGCUCAGCAANCUCGACNACCCUCGGNGGCACGAUGCCUAACACAUGCAAGUCGAACGCGAAAGCCCCGCAAGGGGUAAGUAGAGUGGCAAACGGGUGAGUAACACGUGGGUGACCUGCCUUCGAGUGGGGGAUAACGUCCCGAAAGGGACGCUAAUACCGCAUGACAUCCUGCGUUUGGAAACGCGGAGAUCAAAGCCGGGGAUCGCAAGACCUGGCGCUUGAAGAGGGGCCCGCGCCUGAUUAGCUAGUUGGUGGGGUAACGGCCUACCAAGGCGACGAUCAGUAUCCGGCCUGAGAGGGCGGACGGACACACUGGGACUGAGACACGGCCCAGACUCCUACGGGAGGCAGCAGUGGGGAAUUGUUCGCAAUGGACGCAAGCCUGACGACGCAACGCCGCGUGGAGGACGAAGAUCUU